rnacentral:misc_RNA from 1 species
AAAGAAACCAAUUCAGGAGUAAACACCUCUGAGAAAAUAUUGCCUUGAGCUCAUUACUCUGUAAAGUAACAAUUCAUCAAGAACAUAGUCCCUUAAAGGGCUUCAAUGAAUUAAACUGGGAAAUAUAAAAAUUUUGAAGCAAGUUUAUGGGAUGAAAAUUGGAUAUAUAGAGAAAGGGGAUAAAUUUAAAAAAAUAACUAAAAGGUAUACUUUGCAUACUGAACAUAUA